GGCGGCGUGGUGUAGUGGAUAACACAUCAGUCCGGUCUACUGAAGAUCUGGUUCGCUCCCAGCCGCCG
rnacentral:tRNA from 1 species